rnacentral:rRNA from 1 species
GAUGAACGCUAGCGGCAGGCUUAAUACAUGCAAGUCGAGGGGCAGCAUGAGUGUAGCAAUACAUUUGAUGGCGACCGGCAAACGGGUGCGGAACACGUACAGAACCUUCCUUCGAGCGGGGAAUAGCCCAGAGAAAUUUGGAUUAAUACCCCAUAGUACAACGGAGUGGCAUCACUUUGUUGUUAAAGAUUUAUCACUUGAAGAUGGCUGUGCGGCUGAUUAGGUAGUUGGCGGGGUAACGGCCCACCAAGCCUGCGAUCAGUAACUGGUGUGAGAGCACGACCAGUCACACGGGCACUGAGACACGGGCCCGACUCCUACGGGAGGCAGCAGUAAGGAAUAUUGGUCAAUGGACGAAAGUCUGAACCAGCCAUGCCGCGUGGAGGAUGAAGGUCCUCUGGAUUGUAAACUUCUUUUAUAUGGGACGAAAAAGGCUUUUCUAAGUCGUCUGACGGUACCAUAUGAAUAAGCACCGGCUAACUCCGUGCCAGCAGCCG